rnacentral:rRNA from 1 species
AAAGCUGCCCCGGGGAUAACAGGCUUAUCUCCCCCAAGAGUUCACAUCGACGGGGAGGUUUGGCACCUCGAUGUCGGCUCAUCGCAUCCUGGGGCUGUAGUCGGUCCCAAGGGUUGGGCUGUUCGCCCAUUAAAGCGGUACGCGAGCUGGGUUCAGAACGUCGUGAGACAGUUCGGUCCCUAUCCGUCGUGGGCGUAGGAAAUUUGAGAGGAGCUGUCCUUAGUACGAGAGGACCGGGAUGGACAUACCUCUGGUGUACCAGUUGUCGUGCCAACGGCAUAGCUGGGUAGCUAUGUAUGGACGGGAUAAGUGCUGAAAGCAUCUAAGCAUGAAGCCCCCCUCAAGAUGAGAUUUCCCAACUUCGGUUAUAAGAUCCCUCGAAGAUGACGAGGUUAAUAGGUUCGAGGUGGAAGCGUGGUGACACGUGGAGCUGACGAAUACUAAUCGAUCGAAGACUUAAUCAAUUUUUAAA